rnacentral:rRNA from 1 species
AUCAACUUUCGAUGGUAGGAUAGAGGCCUACCAUGGUGGUAACGGGUAACGGGGAAUUAGGGCUCGAUUCCGGAGAGGGAGCCUGAGAAACGGCUACCACAUCCAAGGAUGGCAGCAGGCGCGCAAAUUACCCAAUCCCGACACGGGGAGGUAGUGACAAUAAAUAACAAUACGGGGUUCUUUAGGAUCUCGUAAUUGGAAUGAGUACAAUUUAAAUCUCUUAACGAGGAACAAUUGGAGGGCAAGUCUGGUGCCAGCAGCCGCGGUAAUUCCAGCUCCAAUAGCGUAUAUUAAAGUUGUUGCAGUUAAAAAGCUCGUAGUUGAACUUCAGGCCUGGCUGGACGGUCCGCCUUCCGGGUGAGUACUGUCUGUGGUCGGGUCCUACCUUCUGGCGAAGCGUCAUGGCCUUAACCGGCCGUGGCGGGGAACCAGGACUUUUACUGUGAAAAAAUUAGAGUGUUCAAAGCAGGCAAUUCGCUUGGAUACAUUAGCAUGGAAUAAUGGAAUAGGACAAUUGUUCUAUUUGUUGGUUUCUAGGACUGUUGUAAUGAUUAAUAGGGAUAGUUGGGGGCAUUAGUAUUCAAUUGUCAGAGGUGAAAUUCUUGGAUUUAUUGAAGACUAACUACUGCGAAAGCAUUUGCCAAGGAUGUUUUCAUUAAUCAAGAACGAAAGUUAGGGGAUCGAAGACGAUCAGAUACCGUCGUAGUCUUAACCAUAAACUAUGCCGACUAGGAAUCGGGCGAUGUUGACAAAAUGACGCGCUCGGCACCUCAUGGGAAACCAAAGUGUUUGGGUUC